GUCCUUGUAGCGCAAAUUUUAGCGUGUUGGACUUCUAAACCAAGAAUCGUGGGUUCAAAACUCACCUGGGAUG